GUCUACUUCAUGAACUGUGUGUCCUGAAUGAUUAUGUGGUAGUGUAUUCUGAUAGUCAGUCAUCUAUACACUUAUGCAAAAACCCUAUUUUUCACGAGCGCACCAAACACAUUGAUGUUAGACUCUACUUUAUUAGAGAUAUAGUAUCUCAAGAGGUGGUAAGACUUGAGAAAGUCCAUACCCACUACAACUCAUCUGAUAUGGGGACGAAGGUACUGCCACUGGCAAAGUUUAGGAGUUGCAAGGAACUUCUAAACAUUGGUACAGGUAAAUGAUUUCCAAUUUUAUUGUUUUUCUAUUAGAGGUGUCACUAAUGGAAGACAAUUUUCUUUGCAGGUCAUUUGACACCAAGGUGGAGGUUGUUAGGCAAUUUGUUGUCAAACGACCUCCCCGAGCGAUGAUGUAACCUCGAUUUUUUAUUAUCAAUCGGCUUUGGCCAUAUGAUUGAUUAGUACAUCGACACAAUUAUCGAGACAACACAAUCCACAUUUUUAUGGAUCGUUCGAAGCAACCUAUUUUAAAUAGUGUUGUUCACGGUUUCGCUCCAUUCCUUGGAAGGCUAUAUUAUUAUUUUUGAAACCCACUUAAUUGAGUCAAGCCUUGUUUUUGGUCCACCACUUAACCCUAACCUAACUUACCUAUUUUGGACAUUUACUUGGCAUAUAAUCCCUUCCUUCUUCUCGGCCUCUAUAGUGUGCCAAUUCCCUUUCUCUUUGUGAGACUUCCUCACGGCUCCUUCCUCGACUUCACUGUAACCUUUGUGGUUAAUCUUUGUGGGCACAUUAUUGGACUUCUCCUUCUCCAAUUUAUAACAACCAGAGUGGGGCGGCGGCAGUGGUGGUUUUGGAGUUGUCUCAACCUUGGUAGUGUCGAUGUUUUGGUAAACUGAGCCCGAUUUUGCACUUGGCGGAAGUGGAAAUCAACCCUACAGGCUACAUCCAUGAGCAAGUAUAGAAGGAAAUGAAAUAACCUUCUUUCUCAAUACAAGAAAAUAAUAACAAUUAAUCCCUCUCGUAAUAGAAAAAACUAAGUAGAAAACAUUAAGAAGAAAAUAAAAAAAAAUUCCCCAUAAUUUAUGUAUCGCUCCGCCUCACUAUUUUUCUCUCUACUCUUUCAAUCCUCU
rnacentral:lncRNA from 1 species